GACGAACGCUGGCGGCGUGCCUAAUACAUGCAAGUCGAACGCAGUGGGGACGGGUGAGUAACACGUGGGUAACCUCCCAUCAGAGGGGAUAACACUUGGAAACAGGUGCUAAACCGAUACUGAUGGAUGGACCCGGUGUGCAUUCGCUAGUUGGUGGGGUAGCGGCUCACCAAGGCCACGAUGCAUAGCCGAUCUGAGAGGGUGAGCGGCCACACUGGGACUGAGACCAGGCCCAGACUCCUACGGGAGGCAGCAGUAGGGAAUCUUCGGCAAUGGACGAAAGUCGGACGGAGCAACGCCGCGUGAUUGAAGAAGGUUUUCGGAUCGUAAAACUCUGUUGUUAGAGAAGCGGUAUCUAACCAGAAAGCAACGGCUAACUACGUGCCAGCAGCCGCGGUAAUAC
rnacentral:rRNA from 1 species